AAAAUAUAUUACAUUUGCUGCAAAGGAAAAAUGGGAGAACCAUCUUAAUAUGACUGGUAUUAACUGGAAAAAAAUACACACUUCGUGUACAAAAUAUAGUAAAAGCACUAAGCUUAGCUGGUUCCAAUAUAGAAUUAUCCAUAGAAUUUUGGGAACUAAUUCACUACUUUACAAGAUGAAAAUAAAUAGUAACAACAUGUGUACAUUUUGUAAAGAAGGACCAGAGACCAUAGAACAUUUAUUUUGGAGCUGUCCGAUGGUCGCCAGUCUCUGGCAUGCACUAAACAUUUGGAUUUUUGAAAUGACAAAUAUUGAACUGCCUUUGAAUAUUAUGAUUAUUUUAUUUGGUAUCUUAGAAAAUGUUAAAUUGAAUUUUGUUAAAAAUAAGAUUAUUCUUUUUUCAAAAUACUACAUCUACCGAACAAAACUACAAGAAGUUUUGCCAAAUUUAAAUGCUUUAAAAAACUAUUUAAAGGAACACUUGAAUUUAGAAAAAUACAUUUCAUUUAAAAACCUCUCUGUAGAGGAAUAUAACAAAUACUGGAGUCCCUGGGCCCCUAUCAUAGAAUAAAUAAUAAAUGUUAAAAUUUGAUUGAAACACCACUUAUGCAUAUCGCAAGAACAAGUAAGACUUCAAUGUUAUAAGAUAUUUAUUUAUUUUCAAGCUACUAUUGCACCACCAUAUAUAUUCAAUUGUUGUUUUAUUAUAUAA
rnacentral:lncRNA from 1 species